CCUGAAUCAAGUGAAAGAACCCCAGGCUGACUGGCAAGAAAGAUACUCAGACAAGGUGAUAGAGUUCCUAAGAACAGCCGCAGGUAGAUCCAGUUCAUAAGAACAGGCCCAGCUAGUUGGACUCUUCCUAGGAACUGGAGGAAUUGCAGCUAUAAUUCCAUGGUCUUUGAUAAACUUCAAGUCUCCACCUACCUUGUGCCUGGGCAGGAUUUGGCAGUGGUUUCUUGGAUAUAACAUCAAAGGCACAGGCAACAAAAGAAAAACAGACCAACUGGAGUUUAUGAAAAUUAAACUGUAAGUCCUUCAUCCUUAAUUUUUUUUUUUUUUUUGGUUUUUCUCUGGUUCCAGGAACCGAAGGCAGGCGCUUUUGCCGCUGAGCUAAAUCCCCAGCCCCUCCAUCCUU
rnacentral:lncRNA from 1 species